CUUAAGUCUGAGUGCGGCUGAAAUGUUGUUGGGAGCAGUAAACCGGAGACAGCUGGGACUUUCGCGCUGUUGAAUCAGACGACUUUUAAACGAAUCACAUCACCCAGAGACAGAACAUGAAGGAAGAAGCAGCUGCUAUUUAUUAUAUUGCCAAGAUGGAUGUCAAAGAGGAGACGUGUGAAGUUGACAUAAAUAUCACAGGCCUAACGACUGUGAGUGUUAAGGAAGAGGACUGUGAAGGGGAGCCCGUCCACCCUAACAAGGAGAGUCUCUGCAUUAAGGACGAGGAUAGUGAACUGGGGUCAGUGGGCAUUAAAGAAGAGGCAGAGGAGACGUCUGUCAGCUUUAAGGCGCACAAACAUGAAAGCAUGAAGCCUGUCGAUGUCAAGUGGAAGUCUGAAUCAUUAGAGUCUGACACAAAGAGGGCUGAGGAAAUUUCAUCUUCUAUGACUGAGGAAGACCAAGCAUCACCCACACAUCAGUCUGAAGAAAAUUUACAAGAUAUUGACAGCGUCUCCUCCUCUUCAUUUUCUUGGACAUCUCUGCAGUGUAAAACAGAAGAAACACAGCACAAUGAAAGCGUGAAGAAAAUUAUCUCCAAAUCAAAGAUUUUGACCCCGUCCACUCUCCAGUGCAGUUCUCUACCUGUUUUGAAACUAAUACGGACAGAUAAAGCAAGCACUCAACAACAGAAACACAAUUCAAACUCUUCUACUUUGUCAGCUUUUCAAAAGCAGAAAUGCAAACAGAGAUGUAAAAACAAUGAUAAGCAGGACAGUCAUGUAAGAAAGAAGACAUAUUGCUGUUCUGUGUGUGGCAAAGAAUUCUUGUAUAGUAGCCAGCUUAAGACGCACACAAGAUUUCACACUGGAGAGAAGCCAUAUUGCUGUUCUGAAUGCGGAAAGAAAUUUGCCACUAGAGAAACUCUUAUGUACCACACAAGAAUUCACACUGGAGAGAAGCCAUAUUGUUGUUCUGAAUGUGGGAAAGAAUUCUUACAAAUUAGCCACCUCCACACACACACACGGAUUCACACUGGAGAGAAGCCAUAUUCCUGUUCUGAAUGUGGAAAGAAAUUUAGCACUAAUGAUUCGCUUAAGUACCACAAAAGAAUUCACACUGGAGAGAAACCAUAUCGCUGUUUAGAAUGUGGAAAAGAAUUCACCGCCAGUGGUUCCCUUAAGAAACAUACAAGACUUCACACUGGAGAAAAACCAUUCUGCUGUUCUGAAUGUGGUAAACAAUUUGUUAACCGAAGUAAUUUUCAGCUACAUAAAAGAAUUCACACUGGUCAGAAAGCAUAUCGCUGUUCAGAAUGUGGAAAAGAGUUUGCCACCAGUGCUGCUCUUAAGUACCACACCAGUAUUCACACUGGAGAGAAGCCAUAUUGCUGUUCUGAAUGUGGAAAAGAGUUCACCGCCAGUGGUUCUCUUAAGCAGCAUAUAAGAAUUCACACUGGAGAAAAACCAUUCUGCUGUUCUGAAUGUGGUAAACACUUUGUUAGCCGUAGCAAUUUUCAGUUACACAAAAGAAUUCACACUGGAGAGAAGCCAUAUUGCUGUUCCAAAUGUGGAAAAGAAUUUGCCACCAGUGGUUCUCUUAAGUACCACACACGAAUUCACACUGGGGAGAAGCCGUAUUGCUGUUCUGAAUGUGGAAAACAAUUCACCAGCAGUGGUACUCUUAAGCGGCACACAAGAACUCACACUGGAGAGAAGCCGUAUUGCUGUCCUGAAUGUGGCAAACAGUUUGCUGCCAGUGGCACUCUUAAGCGGCAUACAAGAAUUCACACUGGACACAAGCCAUAUUGCUGUUCAGAAUGUGGAAAACAAUUUUUACAAAUUUCCCACCUUCAGACACACUCAAAAAUACACACUGGAGAGAAGCCGUAUUCCUGUUCUGAAUGCGGAAAAGAAUUCUCACGAAUUGACCAUCUUCGUAAACACACACAAAUACACACUGGAGAGAAGUCCUGAUCCAUGAUUAAAGUCCUGAUUAAAAGAAACUUUCAGGCCCAUGCUGACAGCCUACAAAUUACAAAUUACGGUUGAGUAUAUGUAUACCAAAAUGAAUACCGUCAAGCAACUGGCAAUCCUCGUCUGAUCCAACUGCUUGAGAAUAAUCAAUUAGUUCAAUUACUUUCAUAGACAGUGUGUGUGUGAAUUAGCGUACAAAGCUGUUGAGCCUUGAAUGCACAUCUGACUCCAAAGGUGGCACGGGUUUGAUUGAAACUGGUCCUGAUCAACAAUCGUUGAAUUGCAGACUAUCCUCCUAAAUUCACAUGAGUACUCCAGUGUUUCUAAUCACUACUCCCUGCUAAAGUUUGGACAAAUUUCACAUGAAUAGUAAAACAUUUUAUUCUUAUAGUAUUUUUAGUUUAAUAAAUAGACAACAACAUUUUUAAAAACAAUUGACUGAUUUUGUCCUUCAGCUUCAUGUAGACAAUUUGCUUUCAUAUUGAUAGAUGAGAAGAGGUGUAUUGGAAAUAAUGGGUGAACUUAUGAUCAGUGGGCUGCAGACAAAUGGUUAAACAAUCAUGUGCAGAAUCUACGAACCACUCAUGCAUCAGGGUACAAGAUAUCUGAGGGUUUAUGCACUGAAAGGCACUACAAAGUCUCCAAACUCCUUUGGAAACCUUCCAGAGAUUACAACCUACUUGCCGCUAGAGAGACAUUAGAACCACCUGUCAUAAGGAGUAAUGACACAAAGUUAAAAUGAGCUGGAUGAGGCAGUCGAUGACCUCAUCAUUUAGAACUCGCCACCAUUUUCCAUUGUGGACGAUGAGGGUUCCAAAUAUUUUCUUUCAGAGACUUGAAAUCAAUUACAAUGUACAGUCCAUCCAGAUGUGCCAUAAGAAGACCGCAAGUUCCAAAUAUGAGGAAAGGAAGUAGAAGGCAAACACAGAAGUGAUGAAAGCAACAGCCAUUAGUGUGACAUCAGCUCUGAGGACCUCAGGCGACAUGAAGGCCAACCUAGCAGUGACGUGUCGUUUAACCGAUGACCAGAAGCAGCUCUCUGCUGGGGUAUCAAAUUCCCCGAGUCACACACAGCUGGCCAUGUUAAGGAGGUGAAGAAUAAUCUUCUAGCCACACAGGGAGUAAGUGACAAGGUAA